CCUACGGGAGGCUGCAGUGAGGAAUAUUGGUCAAUGGACGCGAGUCUGAACCAGCCAUGUCGCGUGCAGGAUGACUGCCCUAUGGGUUGUAAACUUCUUUUGUAAAAGAAUAAAUUUAGAUCCGUGUGCCGUGUUGUAAGUACUUUAUGAAUAAGGAUCGGCUAACUCCGUGCCAGCAGCCGCGUUAAUACGGAGGAUUCGAGCGUUAUCCGGAUUUAUUGGGUUUAAAGGGAGCGUAGGCGGGUUGUUAAGUUAGUUGUGAAAGUUUGAGGCGCAACUGUGAAAUUGCCUUUGAUACUGUCGGUCUAGAGUUUAGUUGCGGUAGGCGGAAUGUGUGGUGUAGCGGUGAAAUGCUUAGAUAUCAUGAAGAACUCCGAUUGCGAAGGCAGCUUACUAAACUGCCACUGACGUUGAUGCUCGAAAGUGUGGGGAGCAAACAGGAUUAGAUACCCGAGUAGUC
rnacentral:rRNA from 1 species